AAGCGUUAUCCGGAUUCAUUGGGUUUAAAGGGUGCGUAGGUGGAAAGAUAAGUCAGUGGUGAAAUCUCCGGGCUCAACUCGGAAACUGCCAUUGAUACUGUUUUUCUUGAGUGCAUAUGAUGUGGGCGGAAUAUGACAUGUAGUGGUGAAAUACUUAGAUAUGUCAUAGAACACCGAUUGCGAAGGCAGCUCACAAAACUGCAACUGACACUGAGGCACGAAAGCGUGGGGAUCAAACAGGAUUAGAUACCCUGGUAGUCCACGCCUUAAACUAUGAUAACUCGAUGUUGGCGAUACACUGCCAGCGUCCAASCKAAAGCGUUAAKUUAUCCACCUGGGGAGUACGGUCGCAAGACUG
rnacentral:rRNA from 1 species